rnacentral:rRNA from 1 species
CACACUGGGACUGAGACACGGCCCAGACUCCUACGGGAGGCAGCAGUGGGGAAUUUUGGACAAUGGGCGAAAGCCUGAUCCAGCAAUGCCGCGUGUGUGAAGAAGGCCUUCGGGUUGUAAAGCACUUUUGUCCGGAAAGAAAUGGCUCUGGUUAAUACCUGGGGUCGAUGACGGUACCGGAAGAAUAAGGACCGGCUAACUACGUGCCAGCCGCCGCAGUAAUAC